AUUGAACGCUGGCGGCAUGCCUUACACAUGCAAGUCGAACGGUAACGGGUCCUUCGGGAUGCCGACGAGUGGCGAACGGGUGAGUAAUAUAUCGGAACGUGCCCAGUAGUGGGGGAUAACUGCUCGAAAGAGCAGCUAAUACCGCAUACGACCUGAGGGUGAAAGGGGGGGAUCGCAAGACCUCUCGCUAUUGGAGCGGCCGAUAUCAGAUUAGCUAGUUGGUGGGGUAAAGGCCUACCAAGGCAACGAUCUGUAGUUGGUCUGAGAGGACGACCAGCCACACUGGGACUGAGACGCGGCCCAGACUCCUACGGGAGGCAGCAGUGGGGAAUUUUGGACAAUGGGCGCAAGCCUGAUCCAGCAAUGCCGCGUGCAGGAAGAAGGCCUUCGGGUUGUAAAUUGCUUUUGUCAGGGAAGAAAUCUUCUGGGCUAAUACCCCGGGAGGAUGACGGUACCUGAAGAAUAAGCACCGGCUAACUACGUGCCAGCCGCCGCAGUAACAC
rnacentral:rRNA from 1 species